rnacentral:rRNA from 1 species
UACGUUCCCGGACCUUGUACACACCGCCCGUCAAGCCAUGGAAGUUGGGAGGACCUGAAGACAGUUGCUGUAAGGCACUGUUUAGGGUUAAACCGAUGACUGGGGCU